rnacentral:rRNA from 1 species
GAUGAACGCUGGCGGCGUGCCUAAUACAUGCAAGUCGAGCGAACAGACGAGGAGCUUGCUCCUCUGACGUUAGCGGCGGACGGGUGAGUAACACGUGGAUAACCUACCUAUAAGACUGGGAUAACUUCGGGAAACCGGAGCUAAUACCGGAUAAUAUAUUGAACCGCAUGGUUCAAUAGUGAAAGACGGUUUUGCUGUCACUUAUAGAUGGAUCCGCGCCGCAUUAGCUAGUUGGUAAGGUAACGGCUUACCAAGGCGACGAUGCGUAGCCGACCUGAGAGGGUGAUCGGCCACACUGGAACUAAGACACGGUCCAGACUCCUACGGGAGGCAGCAGUAGGGAAUCUUCCGCAAUGGGCGAAGGCCUGACGGAGCAACGCCGCGUGAGUGAUGAAGGUCUUCGGAUCGUAAAACUCUGUUAUUAGGGAAGAACAAAUGUGUAAGUAGCUAUGCACGUCUUGACGGUACCUAAUCAGAAAGCCACGGCUAACUACGUA